rnacentral:rRNA from 1 species
UACGUAGGUGGCAAGCGUUGUCCGGAUUUACUGGGUGUAAAGGGCGUGUAGCCGGGUUGACAAGUCAGAUGUGAAAUCCUGCGGCUUAACCGCAGAACUGCAUUUGAAACUGUUGAUCUUGAGUACUGGAGAGGCAGACGGAAUUCCUAGUGUAGCGGUGAAAUGCGUAGAGAUUAGGAAGAACACCAGUGGCGAAGGCGACUUACUGGACUGUAACUGACGCUGAGGCAUGAGAGCAUGGGGAGCAAACAGG